rnacentral:rRNA from 1 species
AGAACGAACGCUGGCGGCAGGCCUAACACAUGCAAGUCGAACGAGAGGCCACCUUCGGGUGGUGGAAAGUGGCAGACGGGUGAGUAACGCGUGGGAACGUGCCUUUCGGUUCGGGAUAACCCAGGGAAACUUGGGCUAAUACCGGAUACGCCCUUCGGGGAAAGAUUCAUAGCCGAAAGAUCGGCCCGCGUCGGAUUAGCUAGUUGGUGGGUAAAAGCCUACCAAGGCGACGAUCCGUAGCUGGUCUGAGAGGAUGAUCAGCCACACUGGGACUGAGACACGGCCCAGACCUCCUACGGGAGCAGCAGGUGGGGAAUAGUUGGACAAGUGGGACGAAAGCCUGAUCCAGCCAUGCCGCGUGGGCGAAGAAGGUCCUUAGGGUUCUAAACCCC